rnacentral:rRNA from 1 species
UACAGAGGUCUCAAGCGUUGUUCGGAUUCAUUGGGCGUAAAGGGUGCGUAGGUGGCGCCGUAAGUCGGGUGUGAAAUUUCGGAGCUUAACUCCGAAACUGCAUUCGAUACUGCGGUGCUUGAGGACUGGAGAGGAGACUGGAAUUCAUGGUGCAGCAGUGAAAUGCGUAGAGAUCAUGAGGAAGACCAGUGGCGAAGGCGGGUCUCUGGACAGUUCCUGACACUGGAGGAGCGAAGCGUGGGGAGCAAACAGG